GGCUGCCCGACCGGCUUCCGGAAGAAGCCUGCAAAUCUGGGGGCGGAUCUCAGCAAGCCGGCCAACAAAUCGGGGCAGGCGGCCUCGUGGGCGGCCGACUUGCGGAGACUCGGAGCGUUGGACGGCGCGCCUCUUCUGCGAUGGGUACCACCUUCUGUUGGCUGGGACGCCGAUCUCACAUUCUGUGCUGGAGACAAAAAGACGUGGCGAAGGCUUGGAGGUUAAUCUCCUGGAGCAGAGAAUGGAGGCAGCCAAGGAAGAUGCUGUUGAACCAGUUAGGAGGCUGUUGCAGCUAUCCCAGCAAGAUUUGAUGAUAAUGUGGACUUGAGAGGUGGCAGAGCAGUUGCCCAAAGCUGGAUGACUUUCAGAGGCUAUCCAGUUUUGAAGAACGCAGCCUAGGGGGCUGCAGGUGGGAAUCAAAUUAGCAUAAUUUAGACACGGCCGGUCAAAGUAUACUUAUGCUGCAGCUAGAACCAGAUCUCCAAACCAAACCAAACCACGCCAAGCCAAGAGCACUUCUGGAGCGGAUCCACUAAUUUUUCCUUAUUAUCGAGCGUCCUCGAAACCAAGAUCCUCACAGUGAAGGCCAGACCAAGGCUUCCUUUGUCAGAAGUCACGGAGGGCGUCCCCUGCCAAACCAAGGCUUUCUUUCAGAAAUCAGAGUUAAAGGAAGAAGAAAUAAGAAUGUAGUCACUUGUACUGAAGUUACUCACCAAAAAGACGUCUUCCAAACCAAGAAACCAUCUCUCUACUGCAAAGUGAGGAUAUGCACCAAGGAGUCGGCAGCGUCAAGCCAGGAAAGAAUCCCGGAACAGUCCCGGGAGGAACGCUCCCAGCAGCUGUUGGACUCUUCCACAGGCUCUGCACUCUGGCAAGGGACUGACGAAUCUCAGGCAAAAAGGUCCAUCUGGACUUAGCUCCUGGCUCACUCACCAUUUCUUACCAAACCAGGUUCAUUUUUGCCCACCGCCCAGAAAGCCAAACACCAAGAUGACGAGAUUGCAGCAGAGAGAGUUUGCUCACAAGGCAGCCACGUGAGGAAGCAAGAGCAUGAGCCUCAAAUUUGCUUCCCUGAAAAUAGGGACUCAGGGAUAUUUAUGGGAUGGGGGCAAGGUGGUCUGAAAUGUGGAGAGAGGUGAUUGGACGUGAGGAGAGGUGAGGUAAUUGAUGAUCUGCACAAGCGUAGUCAGACUUCAUGCCUCUUCAUACGACCCAUGUUCACAAAAUGGCAGCAUUAGCAUGAUCUGAGGGUGGAGGUUUUAGCCUCUUGACGUCAAAAGGUCGCCUAUCGGACAUCUGCAUUGGCCCACUUGAUGAGUUGGUGGUCUCAACUGGCCUGAAGUGGACAAGGAGUUCUAAUUCCUGAAAAACAGCUCACACACCCGUUACCAGGGUGACCCAGGCUCCAGGGAGAUGUUAUCUAUAGGAGCCUAGUGGGAGUCAGAUAGCAUUUUGCCUAAGCAGCACAGUUAACAAUGGGUGAGUUAAACAGCUAAAACCUAUAAUCAGUAAUUACAAAAAGGAAAAACUUUAGUACCUAGAUACUUAAUCAUCAAUGGCUCUUUGCUGGUUUCACUGCCUUGAUCAAUAGUUCAGAAAGUGGGUUUAUUGCAGAAGCUUGAUGGUGGCUUGUCUGUGAGAUGUCUUACUGAAAAAUAUAGUGUGGGAAUCACCACCAUAUAUGACUUAAAGAAACAAAAAGAUAAGUUGUUGGAAUUUUACAGUGACAGUGAUAAUCAAGAACUAAUGAAAAUUAGAAAAAUAUUGCAUAGGGCCAAAAAUUAAGAUCUUGACUGUGUGUUGAUUGAAUGGAUUUGAUAACAAAGAAGUAAAGUCAUUCCUGUUUUGUUUUUUUUUUGGGUGAG
rnacentral:lncRNA from 1 species